ACACGACUACAUUAGAUACCCGGGUAGUCCAGGGUGUAAACGCUGCGGGCUUGGUGUUGGGGGUCCUUUGAGGGCGCCCAGUGCCGGAGAGAAGUUGUUAAGCCUGCUGCUUGGGGAGUACGUCCGCAAGGAUGAAACUUAAAGGAAUUGGCGGGGAGCACCGCAACGGGAGGAGCGUGCGGUUCAAUUGGAUUCAACGCCGGACAACUCACCAGGAGCGACGGUUACAUGAAGGCCAGGCUGAUGACCUUGCUUGACAAGCUG
rnacentral:rRNA from 1 species